GCCCGGUUAACUCAAUGGUAGAGUGUCAGGCUUUUAUUGCCUCCAAUGAGAACCUGAAGGUGUAAGUUGUUUUGCCUAUUCUAUGCUACGAUGUCGGGGAGUAUCAGAAAUACUAACGUAUAUACAGUGCGGGUUCGACCCCCGCAUCGGGCU
rnacentral:tRNA from 2 species